UACAGAGGUCUCAAGCGUUGUUCGGAUUCAUUGGGCGUAAAGGGUGCGUAGGUGGCGCCGUAAGUCAGGUGUGAAAUUUCGGAGCUUAACUCCGAAACUGCAUUUGAUACUGCGGUGCUUGAGGACUGGAGAGGAGACUGGAAUUUACGGUGUAGCAGUGAAAUGCGUAGAUAUCGUAAGGGAGACCAGUGGCGAAGGCGGAUCUCUGGACAGUUCCUGACACUGAGACACGAAGGCCAGGGGAA
rnacentral:rRNA from 1 species